rnacentral:rRNA from 1 species
GACGAACGCUGGCGGCGUGCUUAACACAUGCAAGUCGAACGGUGAAGGGGCCUGCUUUUGUGGGUCCUGGAUGAGUGGCGAACGGGUGAGUAACACGUGAGUAACCUGCCCCCUUCUUCUGGAUAACCGCAUGAAAGUGUGGCUAAUACGGGAUAUUCUGGGUCUGUCGCAUGGUGGGCCUGGGAAAGAUUGCGCCUUUUCUGGUGUUUUUGGUGGGGGAUGGGCUCGCGGCCUAUCAGCUUGUUGGUGGGGUGAUGGCCUACCAAGGCGGUGACGGGUAGCCGGCCUGAGAGGGUGGACGGUCACACUGGGACUGAGACACGGCCCAGACUCCUACGGGAGGCAGCAGUGGGGAAUAUUGCACAAUGGGCGCAAGCCUGAUGCAGCGACGCCGCGUGAGGGAAUGGAGGCCCUUUCGGGUUG